AUACGGAGGGUGCGAGCGUUAAUCGGAAUUACUGGGCGUAAAGCGUACGUAGGCGGUUGGUUAAGUUAGAUGUGAAAGCCCCGGGCUUAACCUGAGAACUGCAUUUAAAACUGGCGAACUAGAGUUGAGUAGAGGGGAGUGGAAUUUCAGGUGUAGCGGUGAAAUGCGUAGAGAUCUGAAGGAACACCAGUGGCGAAGGCGACUCCCUGGACUCGAACUGACGCUGAGGUACGAAAGCGUGGGUAGCAAACGGGAUUAGAAACCCUAGUAGUCC
rnacentral:rRNA from 1 species